GUGAUGGCUGGAUAUAAGUGGACAAGUGUAUAGCCAAUGAAGAGGCUAUGAUGAGUAUGAAGACAAAUGCAAGAUUGAUUUUCAUGGAUAUUGCCCCCAUGCUAAAGAUCAAUGAGCUAGAAGACAUUUACCUUGGAAAAUAAGUGGAUGACUUGUGGAGCAUUAAGACGCGACUGCUAUGAAGGAGCAGAGGGCAUGCGCAGGUUCUGGGAACAAGUUGACUCUUGUCAAGGUGGUGAGCUCGGUGAAGGCAUUGUAAUACUUAGAGUAUCAAGACAUAUAUGGAUCAACCUUUAAUGGGCUGCCCCCAUGGUUUAAGGUAGAGAGCUACCUGGACUCUUGAGACUAAGAGCGGGAGACUCACGGAGAAGUAAGGCGUGGUUCCUAGGGAGGAACAGAGGGCAGACGCAACUCCGGGAUGAGUAGACUCUUGGAAGAGUGGUGAGCUCGUGAUCACAUUAAAAUACUCAAUGACUGUCGCACUUGGAAAUAUCCUUUUGAGGGGGUGUUGUAAGCCUUGGUGUAAGGCUUGAUAAAUCAUUCCGGGCCAAGCAUGGUUGAUAUGCUUGAAGGGGGAUGUUGUUCCAGAGACAAGCGUUAAACACUCUUCAGAUGAGAUAUGACAAACCAUCUGGUUGAAGUGAUCCUUUGGAGUGAGCAAAGGGGUGCUUGGAUGACUCUGGUGAUUGAAAGGUUUGGCAAGUACCUGGAAACUUGGCUAAAGACGCUCUCGGAAUGGUAAGCUUGGAAGAGCUGCAGAAUGCAAGCAUGUGCUGAAGAAGCAAGAGGACAAUUGCCCACAUGAAUGGCAAAGGGGGUGAUUGUUAGGAUUGUUGCCAUUAUGUGCAGCAAUCAUAGAGCAUUUACAGCCUAUCUUCUAGA
rnacentral:lncRNA from 1 species